UUUUUUUUUUUUUUUUUUUUUUUUUUUUGUCUUUUUUAGGGCCGCCCCCGAAGCAUAUGGAGGUUCCCAGGCUAGGGGUCUAAUCGGAGCUGUAACUGCCAGCCUAUGCCAGAGCCACAGCAAUGCAGGAUCCGAGCCAUGUCUGCAACCUACACCACAGCUCACGGCAAUGCCGGAUCCUUAACCCACUGAGCAAGGCCAGGGAUCAAACCCACAACCUCGUGGUUCCUAGUCAGAUUCAUUAACCACUGAGCCAUGAUGGGAACUCCUCAAUCUUUUCUUAUUUCAUUUUUCUUAUUAUUUAUUUAUUUGGCCACACCCACAGCCCAUGGAAGUUUCCAGGUCAGGGAUCAAAACCAUGCCACAGCAGUGACUCGAGCCACUGCAGUGACAAUGCCAGAGCCUUAACUUGCCCCACCACAAGGAAACUCUCUUUUCGUUUUUCUUUUUUUGCUUUUUAGGGCCAGUGCAGCAUAUGGAAGUUCCCAGCUAGGGGCUGAGUAAGAGCUCUAGCUGUGGGCCUACACCACAGCUACAGCAACACCAGAUCCGAGCCACAUCGGCAACCUAGACCACAGCUCAUGGCAACACUGGAUCCCAACCCACUGAGCACGGCCAGGGAUCAAACCCGAAUCCUCAUGGAUACAAGUCAGAUACAUUUCCACUGUACCACACGGGGAACUCCUCUUUUCUUAUUUCAACACAACUAUCGCAAAGGUACAACUUGCUCCUACGUUUUCUAAUUACUAACAGUGAAUCAUUCUUACUCUAAUCCACUUACAGAUUUUGUUUUAUUGCCAUAUUCAUGUUUUCCACUUUAUACAUGUAUUAUUACAGUAAAAAUUUGAACUUACAUACAAUUUAGAAGACAUCUGCCUUUAAGGAUACAAAACAAUAACAAAAGAUAGACCCCCAAAUUAUCCCACCAACAUGAACAACUACAGAUUCCUUUAUAGCAUUUGAGAGUGUGUCUGUCUUUCUUCAAGGCCUGUUUCUCUACUGUUUGGGACAAAUGUGAUUUUUACUUGAAAGCCACAUUUUAAACUGUUUACAAUGUGUUUUGUUAAGUGAACUGAAUUAAAUUUCACAUUCACCAAUUAUGUUUCUCAUCUCUAACCAUUCACAAGAAUCUUCAAGUAAGAAGUAGUUUUAAACAUUCUAAAGAACUCAGAAUUUUAAAGAUGCCAUAAAUUUUAUAUUAGAUAGUUCACUAAAUGGACUGGGAUUUUCAUUUCUGAAUAUUUGAAUAAUAUGAUUAUUUGGAGAACUACUUAAUUGAAAAGAAUGACUUUGAGUAUAUGAGAACUGAGAAGAAAAAAAUAAAUUGAAACUAUUUCUUCUUCUUUUUUUUUUUUUUUUUUUUUUUUUUUGUCUUUUUACCAUUUUCUUGGGCCGCUGCUGCGGCAUAUGGAGAAAAGACAAAAAGACAAAAAAAAAAAAAAAAAAGUAAGCAAAAGGCACAUUUUUAGAACUUUUAAUCACUAUAAUUCCAUCGUUCCAUAUAAACUUCCAGACUGUAGCUCUCUUCCCUAAGGUUCUGAGAAAAUCAAUUUGUUAACCUCACAGACAAAAAUAUCAGACGGUGAGUUCACCUCGGUGGAAAAAAAAAAAAAAGCUGGGGAGACCAAAUUGGAGGAGAAAAAUUGACAACACUUUGCCCACUCCAAGUAAAACAUUUUAAAAGAAGCAACUGAACGCUGAGAGAAGAGCAAGCUCCAGGCAAACGAACAUACAGCGCAGCAAAUCUAGGUAGCUGGAUUCCCGGGGCAACAGGAGAAACCAGUGAAACUUGCAAAGCCUCCAACCAAAAUCGUGAUCUCCCAGGAAAAAAUUUCAGAAUGGAGGGAGGGUGAAAACUUUCCCAGUCCCCGAGCCCAUAGCUGUACAACCAUAUCCCACCACUAGGUGGCGGCGGCAAAGGCUGCCAGCGGGGGGCUGUUUUCUCCCCGUCUUCCGCUCCAGGACGCACAGCUCAGUUCAGGAGAGAACCCACCAGCCCCUCACCUUGCUCGAAUUUGUUAAAUGUCGGGUUAUGAAAAAAAAGAAAAACAUUCAGCCCUUAGAUCCUUAGGUCACCAAGUAACAGCCUCUCCUAAAAGUGUUCACACCAAGGCUGAACGAUGGGAGGGACCGACCUGCAUAUUUUCAACUCCGCUGGAGUUUUCAAAGCAAACCUUCCAGGUUACUGCUUUAAAGACAAGUGAAGCCGAAAUUACGGCGUGAACCCUGGAGAAGCCGCUGGGCUGUGCAUCACCUACUAACCCUUCGUGUACAGUGCCGCAAGGUGAUGAAACCGGCUGAAUAAACAUGAAUCGUUUUAUUGUUAGCCAGAAAGUCUUCCUUCAUUCAUCAAAGUGGGUGAAUGAAAAUAUUAAAAAGGUAAGAUAUUUUCGUGGGCUAUUCCCCCAGUAUUCUUCUGAAGUCAAAACCAUAGUCAGGCUGCGUUCUACCGUGGGUGUCAAAUAAAGCCUCCUCCCAUGAAAGGGAAAACCACUUCCCCCUUCAUAAAAAGGCUGCACCCAGAGCUCAAAUCUUGGUAAAAGAGAUGUUACAUAAAUUCCAGGUGCUCCUAAAUAUGUAUGUUUACCUCAUGCAAUCACUUCGGAAGCAUCUAAGUUUCUGCGCCACUUUCUCUUUUUCUUUUCUCUUUUUCCCAUCUCAAGGAAGAGUCAAAAAGUGUUUAUAUUCUUGACUUGGAAUCUUACCCACUCCAUGUAGAUAUUCCCUACCAGCUAAGUGCAGAAAAUCUAAUGAUUUGCAUCCGAAACGCAUCAAGCAUCAGCACACUUACCUUUCUCUUCUUAACUGAGCCAAAAAAAAAAAAAAUUUUUUUUCACUUAUCUCUCCCCCUCCCCAAAGGGGAAAAAAAACCUACCCCUGAAAUCCUUCAUUAUUUUCUAGGUGAUCUGUACAGUCACUCUCUCUUGUCACUGUAUGAACAAACGAAUUCCUCAACAUCUUACUUUGCCAUUAAAAGGCUUCUUUCCACACGACGGGAUUUCCCUAAGAAACAUUCCCAGCGGAUGGUUUCCAGCAAUAGCCUAUAUCAACUCUGCCUGCGCAAGCAAAGACUUGGCUUCUGCUAAUUCCACCCCCACCCCCAGCGCACACCAAUUCACUCGCACAACCAUCCUGGGCCGACUCGAAAAAGCUAUUUCACUUGCAUGUUUGCCCAUCUCUUCCUGAAUGAAUGCUUUUCCAACUGACCUUUCAACAGCUGCCGAGAUGGCACGAUCUGCUAAGGUUAGAGCUGGAAACUAGGGGAUAUUUUAGCAUCCUAAUCCCUGCAACCUCAACGUUUCUCCUUCUCUGCCCAAGUCCAGAUUCCCUGAGCACUAGGGCAGGAACCCUGAAGCGUUUGCAGAGCAGCUCUCUGAGGUGUCCUGCUCGCGACCAACUCACUGCGGGCAUCCUGCAUACUCACAGCCCCAGCCCACAAGCCGCCCGACACCCGCACCCUGGCCCGCGGCGAAUGCGCCAGGCACGCACCAGCCCUGCCUCUUACCUUCCCUGGCUUUCAGCAAGACCGUGUUGGCCACGAUGUUUUCCAGCUCCAUUGACAGUCGGCGGUCAGCGAGGAAGCCGGCCGGCGGGGCUGUCAGCUCCUGAGGGUGCUGCCGCUGCUACUGCCGCUGCUCGGGCUGCUGCCGCUGCUGCCGGAGCCGGGAGCAAGCAGCCCGCCUUGCCUACCGCAUUAUUCCGGCUCUUAUCCCUCGGAGUUUUCCCCCUCUGCAAAGAGGAGCCGCCGCCGCCGCUUCUUCCUCCCUCUGUGUCCC
rnacentral:lncRNA from 1 species